UACGAAGGGGGCUAGCGUUGCUCGGAAUUACUGGGCGUAAAGCGCACGUAGGCGGCUCUUUAAGUCGGGGGUGAAAUCCUGGAGCUCAACUCCAGAACUGCCUUCGAUACUGUAGAGCUUGAGUUCGGGAGAGGUGAGUGGAACUGCGAGUGUAGAGGUGAAAUUCGUAGAUAUUCGGAAGAACACCAGUGGCGAAGGCGGCUCACUGGCCCGGUACUGACGCUGAGGUGCGAAAGCGUGGGGAGCAAACAGG
rnacentral:rRNA from 1 species